UUCCAUACAGUAGUAGCACACUUAAAGUGAACAUUAACCGUUCUCCCAGUUUUAUCUGUAAUAUUAUAUAUUAAUCGUUUCCGAGUCGAAAAUAUUUUGUUUUUGUUAUCCAAGACAAUAAUUUGAGCCUGCACUGAUUUUAUCCGGCUGAAGCUUAGAAAUUUUAUUAUAGGAAUUUUGAAUCAGCGUGGAGAUGAAGAGCCUCUUGUUACCGGGAAUGAAGUAGAAGACCUUAUUGAAGAAGUAGAUACAGUCUUCCGUGAAGAUCAUGAUUAAGAUCUUCCUGAUGAGUAUUCUGAUUCCAUAUUAUAUUAUUAAAUGCCCGAAUGAUGUUUCAUAGUUUAAAGAGUAAACAAUUAUACUGAAAUUUAUUGGAAUUCAUUAAAAAAUUACAGGAUCGCGUGUUUCUGGCAAUGGAAUAAUAUCCUGUUUUGAAGUGCCGCUUUCUGGUUGUACUGUUACUGUGUUAUUGUCCAUCCAGAGAUCUUCAUACAGCUCAUCAUACAAUGCUGUUUAUUGGUUUCUCAUUAAGAACAGUCUCUAAUUUAUGAACUGAUUUCCUCAUCGUCAUCACGGUCUAAUAAUAAAUAAACUUAUUUCUGUGGA